UGCCAAACUUUAAUAUGCUGAUUUUCCUGA
rnacentral:piRNA from 1 species